UGAGGAAUAUUGGUCAAUGGGCGCAAGCCUGAACCAGCCAAGCCGCGUGAAGGAUGAAGGCUCUACGAGUCGUAAACUUCUUUUGCAGGGGAAGAAAAAGAGCUACGUGAUAGUUCUCUGACGGUACUCUGCGAAUAAGCAUCGGCUAACUCCGUGCCAGCAGCCGCGGUAAUACGGAGGAUGCAGGCGUUAUCCGGAUUUAUUAGGUUUAAAGGGUGCGUAGGCGGGCUUUUAAGUCAGUGGUGAAAACCCUCAGCUUAACUGAGGAACUGCCAUUGAUACUGAGGGUCUUGAAUGCAGUUGAGGCAGGCGGAAUGUGCAGUGUAGCGGUGAAAUGCUUAGAUAUUGCACAGAACACCGAUAGCGAAGGCAGCUUGCUAAACUGUGAUUGACGCUGAUGCACGAAAGCGUGGGGAUCAAACA
rnacentral:rRNA from 1 species